GUGAGGAAUAUUGGUCAAUGGACGGAAGUCUGAACCAGCCAUGCCGCGUGAAGGAUGAAGGCGUUCUGCGUUGUAAACUUCUUUUAUCAGAGAAGAAACCACUGAUUUCUAUUAGUGUUGACGGUAUCUGAUGAAUAAGCACCGGCUAACUCCGUGCCAGCAGCCGCGGUAAUACGGAGGGUGCAAGCGUUAUCCGGAUUUACUGGGUUUAAAGGGUGUGUAGGCGGGCUUGUAAGUCAGGGGUGAAAUCCUACAGCUUAACUGUAGAACUGCCUUUGAUACUAUAGGUCUUGAAUAUUGUUGAGGUGGGCGGAAUACAUCAUGUAGCGGUGAAAUGCUUAGAUAUGAUGUAGAACACCGAUUGCGAAGGCAGCUCACUAAGCAAAUAUUGACGCUGAGGCACGAAAGCGUGGGGAUCAAACAGGAUUAGAUACCCGUGUAGUCC
rnacentral:rRNA from 1 species